CUACGGGUUGCUGCAGUGGGGAAUCUUGGACAAUGGGCGCAAGCCUGAUCCAGCCAUGCCGCGUGAGUGAAGAAGGCCUUAGGGUCGUAGAGCUCUUUCGCCAGAGGUGAUAAUGACAGUAUCUGGUAAAGAAACCCCGGCUAACUCCGUGCCAGCAGCCGCGGUAAUACGGAGGGGGUUAGCGUUGUUCGGAAUUACUGGGCGUAAAGCGCGCGUAGGCGGAUUAGUCAGUCAGAGGUGAAAUCCCAGGGCUCAACCCUGGAACUGCCUUUGAUACUGCUAGUCUUGAGUUCGAGAGAGGUGAGUGGAAUUCCGAGUGUAGAGGUGAAAUUCGUAGAUAUUCGGAGGAACACCAGUGGCGAAGGCGGCUCACUGGCUCGAUACUGACGCUGAGGUGCGAAAGUGUGGGGAGCAAACAGGAUUAGAUACCCGAGUAGUC
rnacentral:rRNA from 1 species